rnacentral:rRNA from 1 species
UACGUAGGGUGCAAGCGUUGUCCGGAAUUAUUGGGCGUAAAGAGCUCGUAGGCGGCCUGUCGCGUCGGCUGUGAAAACCCGGGGCUCAACCCCGGGCCUGCAGUCGAUACGGGCAGGCUAGAGUCCGGCAGGGGAGACUGGAAUUCCUGGUGUAGCGGUGGAAUGCGCAGAUAUCAGGAAGAACACCCGUGGCGAAGGCGGCUCUCUGGAACGCAACUGACGCUGAGACGCGAAAGCGUGGGGAGCAAACAGG